GAUGAACGCUGGCGGCGUGCCUAAUACAUGCAAGUCGAGCGAACAGAUGAGGAGCUUGCUCCUCUGACGUUAGCGGCGGACGGGUGAGUAACACGUGGAUAACCUACCUAUAAGACUGGGAUAACUUCGGGAAACCGGAGCUAAUACCGGAUAAUAUAUUGAACCGCAUGGUUCAAUAGUGAAAGACGGUUUUGCUGUCACUUAUAGAUGGAUCCGCGCCGCAUUAGCUAGUUGGUAAGGUAACGGCUUACCAAGGCAACGAUGCGUAGCCGACCUGAGAGGGUGAUCGGCCACACUGGAACUGAGACACGGUCCAGACUCCUACGGGAGGCAGCAGUAGGGAAUCUUCCGCAAUGGGCGAAAGCCUGACGGAGCAACGCCGCGUGAGUGAUGAAGGUCUUCGGAUCGUAAAACUCUGUUAUUAGGGAAGAACAAAUGUGUAAGUAACUAUGCACGUCUUGACGGUACCGAAGCAGAAAGCCACGGCUAACUACGU
rnacentral:rRNA from 1 species